rnacentral:rRNA from 1 species
CGCGCAGGCGGUCGUUCAAGUCGCGUGUGAAAGCCCCCCGGCUCAACUGGGGGAGGGUCACGCGAUACUGAUCGACUCGAAGGCAGGAGAGGGUAGUGGAAUUCCCGGUGUAGUGGUGAAAUGCGUAGAUAUCGGGAGGAACACCAGUGGCGAAGGCGACUACCUGGCCUGUUUCUUGACGCUGAGGCGCGAAAAUGGGAGGGCAAACG